rnacentral:rRNA from 1 species
UACGGAAGGCAGCAGUGGGGAAGUAUUGCACAAUGGGCGCAAGCCUGAUGCAGCCAUGCCGCGUGUAUGAAGAAGGCCUUAGGGUUGUAAAGUACUUUCAUCGGGGAGGAAAAAAACAAAAACUAAAUAAUUUUUAUUUUCUUUGACGUUACCCGAAAAAGAAGCACCGGCUAACUCCGUGCCAGCAGCCGCGGUAAUACGGAGGGUGCUAGCGUUAAUCAGAAUUACUGGGCGUAAAGAGCACGUAGGUGGUUUUUUUAAGUUCAGAUGUGAAAUCCCUGGGCUUAACCUAGGAACUGCAUUUUGAAACUGAAAUACUAGAGUAUCGUAGAGGGAGGUAGAAUUCUAGGUGUAGCGGUGAAAUGCGUAGAUAUCUGGAGGAAUACCUGUGGCGAAAGCGGCCGUCCUAAACGAAUACUGACACUGAGGGUGCGAAAGCGUGGGGAGCAAACAGGGAUUAGAUACC